UUUGACCUCAAAUCANGUAGGACUACCCGCUGAACUUAAGCAU
rnacentral:rRNA from 1 species